rnacentral:pre_miRNA from 1 species
CUAGUACUCCCUCCGUUCGGAAUUACUCGUCCAAGAAAUUAAUGUAUCUAGAUGUAUUUUAGUUGUAAAUACAUCCAUUUUUGUGACAAGUAAUUCCGAACGGAAGGAGUAUAUA